GACGAACGCUGGCGGCGUGCCUAAUACAUGCAAGUAGAACGCUGAAGGAGGAGCUUGCUUCUCUGGAUGAGUUGCGAACGGGUGAGUAACGCGUAGGUAACCUGCCUGGUAGCGGGGGAUAACUAUUGGAAACGAUAGCUAAUACCGCAUAAGAGUAGAUGUUGCAUGACAUUUGCUUAAAAGGUGCAAUUGCAUCACUACCAGAUGGACCUGCGUUGUAUUAGCUAGUUGGUGGGGUAACGGCUCACCAAGGCGACGAUACAUAGCCGACCUGAGAGGGUGAUCGGCCACACUGGGACUGAGACACGGCCCAGACUCCUACGGGAGGCAGCAGUAGGGAAUCUUCGGCAAUGGACGGAAGUCUGAACGAGCAACGCCGCGUGAGUGAAGAAGGUUUUCGGAUCGUAAAGCUCUGUUGUAAGAGAAGAACGAGUGUGAGAGUGGAAAGUUCACACUGUGACGGUAUCUUACCAGAAAGGGACGGCUAACUACGUG
rnacentral:rRNA from 1 species